CAGCCGCCGCGGUAAUACGGAGGGCGCGAGCGUUGUCCGGAUUCACUGGGCGUAAAGCGGGUGUAGGCGGUUGGGCAAGUCGGACGUGAAAGCCCACGGCUCAACCGUGGAGGGUCAUUGGAAACUGGGGGACUUGAGUGCAGAAGAGGAGAGCGGAAUUCCACGUGUAGCGGUGAAAUGCGUAGAGAUGUGGAGGAACACCAGUGGCGAAGGCGGCUCUCUGGUCUGUAACUGACGCUGAGGCGCGAAAGCGUGGGGAGCAAACAGGAUUAGAUACCCUGGUAGUCCACGCCGUAAACGAUGAGUGCUAAGUGUUAGAGGGGUUUUCCCUUUAGUGCUGUAGCUAACGCGUUAAGCACUCCGCCUGGGGAGUACGGCCGCAAGGCUGAAACUUAAAGGAAUUGGCGGG
rnacentral:rRNA from 1 species